CCUUAUACAAUUACCUGCCAUUCCUGAUUAAAGUAAUUGUAAAUCCAACCAAUAAAAUAAGCCUUUUCGUAUAAGUACAUAUUUCCUUAUGGAAAUCUGGGGGCGGCUGUAAAAAAGGCUAUGGGUUUCUAUUUUUCUAACUGUAUUUAAAUCUCUCCUUCUACAUGUUGAGACAUGUAUAUACACAGACCACUUCACCUGAGCGAAUUAGCGUCCAGAAACCUUGACCACGUGAUUCCCCCCGCCCUCACAGUGACUGAAGAUCAGUGCAGGGGGAUACAGGUCGAAGCCUUAAGUUUCUUCAUUAUCAUUGUUUCUGGACUGUUUAAAGAUCGCCUUUUGGACAAAGUGUUGUGUGUGAAUGCAAAAAAAAACCACAACCACGACCAAACCAUCUGUUGAGUGGUGACAAUAAAUGGGUUAUUCCCAGAAAAGUG